rnacentral:rRNA from 1 species
UACGUAGGCAGCGAGCGUUGUUCGGAGUUACUGGGCGUAAAGAGUGCGUAGGCGGUUUUCUAGGUUUGGUGUGAAAUCUCCCGGCUUAACUGGGAGGGUGCGCCGAAGACUGGAAGGCUUGAGUAUGGGAGAGGUAAGCGGAAUUCCUGGUGUAGCGGUGAAAUGCGUAGAUAUCAGGAGGAACACCUGCGGUGUAGACGGCUUACUGGACCAUCACUGACGCUGAGGCACGAAAGCGUGGGUAGCAAACAGG